GUUUAACUCAGUAGCUCUAGUAUCUCUCUGAUCCUCUCCCAGAGGGUCUGAAGCUUUCAGCCUCCUGAACGGGUAAGCUCCCCCUCUAGUGUUCACUGCUCAUCAAAUUAUUCCUCCAACAAAUAAGACAGGAACUGCCUGUUUUUUGAUUCCCUAUCGAAGGACGGAGCUUGAUUACUGUUUAAUGACACAAAGAGGAAAAGACCAGUCUAUGGCAAAUUCCACUGGGACAUCCCAUUCGCCACAAGGACUGAAAUGACCCACUCCGAAAGCAGCAUGUGAAGCUUUGAGCCUUUCUUCCCCCCGCCACUCUCCAGAGAACAUUAAAUCGUACUUUUCAUUCCCCUCACCAUAGGGGGAACCCCCUUAAUGAUGACAGAGAAAGAA
rnacentral:lncRNA from 1 species